AUCCUUCCGGUUCAAAGCGCUGAUGAAUGGGAGCGGCACGCGCCUGCGUGACAUGUGCGACCCGCGUUACGACGUGGCACAGCCCCAUCUGAGC